UCAGCUAGUUAAAACGGUAGUUAUGGUACCUUAUGUUCUCAGCUGGAUAGCCAGUGAUCUUGGAUAUAGCCAGUAAUCUUGGAUAUGUCUUGAGAGGACAGCACAGUUUAUGUAAGAAAGAUAGGGUACAUGCAUAUAUCCUUGAUAUAUUUAGUACUGCAUUUUAUACAUCUUGUACUAAUUUUGGGUUAUGUCUUAUUAGCAUCUAUUGCUUGUUGUUUUUGCAGUUACCAAUAAAUGUUCAACGAAUGAAAAGUGAACACAGUUAUA